rnacentral:rRNA from 1 species
UGCUUACACAUGCAAGUCGAACGAUGAAGCCCGUGCUUGCACGGGUGGAUUAGUGGCGAACGGGUGAGUAUCACGUGAGUAACCUGCCCUUGACUCUGGGAUAAGCCUGGGAAACUGGGUCUAAUACCGGAUACGACCAGUCCCCGCAUGGGGUGCUGGUGGAAAGAUUUUAUCGGUCUUGGAUGGACUCGCGGCCUAUCAGCUAGACGGUGGGGUAGAAGCCCACCGUGGCGAUGACGGGUAGCCGGCCUGAGAGGGUGACCGGCCACACUGGGACUGAGACACGGCCCAGACUCCUACGGGAGGCAGCAGUGGGGAAUAUUGCACAAUGGGCGCAAGCCUGAUGCAGCGACGCCGCGUGCGGGAUGACGGCCUUCGGGUUGUAAACCGCUUUCAGCAGGGAAGAAGCUUUUGUGACGGUACCUGCAGAAGAAGCGCCGGCUAACUACGUGCCAGCAGCCGCGGUAAUACGUAGGGCGCGAGCGUUAUCCGGAAUUAUUGGGCGUAAAGAGCUCGUAGGCGGCUUGUCGCGUCUGCUGUGAAAGCCCGGGGCUUAACUCCGGGUGUGCAGUGGGUACGGGCAGGCUAGAGUGCAGUAGGGGAGACUGGAAUUCCUGGUGUAGCGGUGAAAUGCGCAGAUAUCAGGAGGAACACCGAUGGCGAAGGCAGGUCUCUGGGCUGUUACUGACGCUGAGGAGCGAAAGCAUGGGGAGCGAACAGGAUUAGAUACCCUGGUAGUCCAUGCCGUAAACGUUGGGCACUAGGUGUGGGGGACAUUCCACGUUUUCCGCGCCGUAGCUAACGCAUUAAGUGCCCCGCCUGGGGAGUACGGCCGCAAGGCUAAAACUCAAAGGAAUUGACGGGGGCCCGCACAAGCGGCGGAGCAUGCGGAUUAAUUCGAUGCAACGCGAAGAACCUUACCAAGGCUUGACAUGGACCGGAUCGCUGCAGAGAUGUAGUUUCCCUUCGGGGCUGGUUCACAGGUGGUGCAUGGUUGUCGUCAGCUCGUGUCGUGAGAUGUUGGGUUAAGUCCCGCAACGAGCGCAACCCUUAUCCUAUGUUGCCAGCACGUGAUGGUGGGGACUCAUGGGAGACUGCCGGGGUCAACUCGGAGGAAGGUGGGAUGACGUCAAAUCAUCAUGCCCCUUAUGUCUUGGGCUUCACGCAUGCUACAAUGGCCGGUAC